rnacentral:rRNA from 1 species
GGGUUGUGAGGUUAAGCGACUAAGCGUACACGGUGGAUGCCCUGGCAGUCAGAGGCGAUGAAGGACGUGCUAAUCUGCGAUAAGCGUCGGUAAGGUGAUAUGAACCGUUAUAACCGGCGAUUUCCGAAUGGGGAAACCCAGUGUGUUUCGACACACUAUCAUUAACUGAAUCCAUAGGUUAAUGAGGCGAACCGGGGGAACUGAAACAUCUAAGUACCCCGAGGAAAAGAAAUCAACCGAGAUUCCCCCAGUAGCGGCGAGCGAACGGGGAGCAGCCCAGAGCCUGAAUCAGUGUGUGUGUUAGUGGAAGCGUCUGGAAAGGCGCGCGAUACAGGGUGACAGCCCCGUACACAAAAAUGCACAUAUUGUGAGCUCGAUGAGUAGGGCGGGACACGUGGUAUCCUGUCUGAAUAUGGGGGGACCAUCCUCCAAGGCUAAAUACUCCUGACUGACCGAUAGUGAACCAGUACCGUGAGGGAAAGGCGAAAAGAACCCCGGCGAGGGGAGUGAAAAAGAACCUGAAACCGUGUACGUACAAGCAGUGGGAGCACGCUUAGGCGUGUGACUGCGUACCUUUUGUAUAAUGGGUCAGCGACUUAUAUUCUGUAGCAAGGUUAACCGAAUAGGGGAGCCGAAGGGAAACCGAGUCUUAACUGGGCGUUAAGUUGCAGGGUAUAGACCCGAAACCCGGUGAUCUAGCCAUGGGCAGGUUGAAGGUUGGGUAACACUAACUGGAGGACCGAACCGACUAAUGUUGAAAAAUUAGCGGAUGACUUGUGGCUGGGGGUGAAAGGCCAAUCAAACCGGGAGAUAGCUGGUUCUCCCCGAAAGCUAUUUAGGUAGCGCCUCGUGAAUUCAUCUCCGGGGGUAGAGCACUGUUUCGGCAAGGGGGUCAUCCCGACUUACCAACCCGAUGCAAACUGCGAAUACCGGAGAAUGUUAUCACGGGAGACACACGGCGGGUGCUAACGUCCGUCGUGAAGAGGGAAACAACCCAGACCGCCAGCUAAGGUCCCAAAGUCAUGGUUAAGUGGGAAACGAUGUGGGAAGGCCCAGACAGCCAGGAUGUUGGCUUAGAAGCAGCCAUCAUUUAAAGAAAGCGUAAUAGCUCACUGGUCGAGUCGGCCUGCGCGGAAGAUGUAACGGGGCUAAACCAUGCACCGAAGCUGCGGCAGCGACGCUUAUGCGUUGUUGGGUAGGGGAGCGUUCUGUAAGCCUGCGAAGGUGUGCUGUGAGGCAUGCUGGAGGUAUCAGAAGUGCGAAUGCUGACAUAAGUAACGAUAAAGCGGGUGAAAAGCCCGCUCGCCGGAAGACCAAGGGUUCCUGUCCAACGUUAAUCGGGGCAGGGUGAGUCGACCCCUAAGGCGAGGCCGAAAGGCGUAGUCGAUGGGAAACAGGUUAAUAUUCCUGUACUUGGUGUUACUGCGAAGGGGGGACGGAGAAGGCUAUGUUGGCCGGGCGACGGUUGUCCCGGUUUAAGCGUGUAGGCUGGUUUUCCAGGCAAAUCCGGAAAAUCAAGGCUGAGGCGUGAUGACGAGGCACUACGGUGCUGAAGCAACAAAUGCCCUGCUUCCAGGAAAAGCCUCUAAGCAUCAGGUAACAUCAAAUCGUACCCCAAACCGACACAGGUGGUCAGGUAGAGAAUACCAAGGCGCUUGAGAGAACUCGGGUGAAGGAACUAGGCAAAAUGGUGCCGUAACUUCGGGAGAAGGCACGCUGAUAUGUAGGUGAAGCGACUUGCUCGUGGAGCUGAAAUCAGUCGAAGAUACCAGCUGGCUGCAACUGUUUAUUAAAAACACAGCACUGUGCAAACACGAAAGUGGACGUAUACGGUGUGACGCCUGCCCGGUGCCGGAAGGUUAAUUGAUGGGGUUAGCGCAAGCGAAGCUCUUGAUCGAAGCCCCGGUAAACGGCGGCCGUAACUAUAACGGUCCUAAGGUAGCGAAAUUCCUUGUCGGGUAAGUUCCGACCUGCACGAAUGGCGUAAUGAUGGCCAGGCUGUCUCCACCCGAGACUCAGUGAAAUUGAACUCGCUGUGAAGAUGCAGUGUACCCGCGGCAAGACGGAAAGACCCCGUGAACCUUUACUAUAGCUUGACACUGAACAUUGAGCCUUGAUGUGUAGGAUAGGUGGGAGGCUUUGAAGUGUGGACGCCAGUCUGCAUGGAGCCGACCUUGAAAUACCACCCUUUAAUGUUUGAUGUUCUAACGUUGACCCGUAAUCCGGGUUGCGGACAGUGUCUGGUGGGUAGUUUGACUGGGGCGGUCUCCUCCUAAAGAGUAACGGAGGAGCACGAAGGUUGGCUAAUCCUGGUCGGACAUCAGGAGGUUAGUGCAAUGGCAUAAGCCAGCUUGACUGCGAGCGUGACGGCGCGAGCAGGUGCGAAAGCAGGUCAUAGUGAUCCGGUGGUUCUGAAUGGAAGGGCCAUCGCUCAACGGAUAAAAGGUACUCCGGGGAUAACAGGCUGAUACCGCCCAAGAGUUCAUAUCGACGGCGGUGUUUGGCACCUCGAUGUCGGCUCAUCACAUCCUGGGGCUGAAGUAGGUCCCAAGGGUAUGGCUGUUCGCCAUUUAAAGUGGUACGCGAGCUGGGUUUAGAACGUCGUGAGACAGUUCGGUCCCUAUCUGCCGUGGGCGCUGGAGAACUGAGGGGGGCUGCUCCUAGUACGAGAGGACCGGAGUGGACGCAUCACUGGUGUUCGGGUUGUCAUGCCAAUGGCACUGCCCGGUAGCUAAAUGCGGAAGAGAUAAGUGCUGAAAGCAUCUAAGCACGAAACUUGCCCCGAGAUGAGUUCUCCCUGACUCCUUGAGAGUCCUGAAGGAACGUUGAAGACGACGACGUUGAUAGGCCGGGUGUGUAAGCGCAGCGAUGCGUUGAGCUAACCGGUACUAAUGAACCGUGAGGCUUAACCUUACAACGCCGAAGGUGUUU